CCCUACGGGGGCAGCAGUAGGGAAUCUUCCACAAUGGGCGAAAGCCUGAUGGAGCAACGCCGCGUGGGUGAAGAAGGCCUUCGGAUCGUAAAACCCUGUUGUUAGAGAAGAAAGUGCGUGAGAGUAACUGUUCACGUUUCGACGGUAUCUAACCAGAAAACCGCGGCUAACUACGUGCCAGCAGCCGCGGUAAUACGUAGGUGGCAAGCGUUAUCCGGAUUUAUUGGGCGUAAAGGGAACGCAGGCGGUCUUUUAAGUCUGAUGUGAAAGCCUUCGGCUUAACCGGAGUAGUGCAUUGGAAACUG
rnacentral:rRNA from 1 species